rnacentral:sRNA from 1 species
UAAUGUCAAUUUUUUUCCUUCGUCGC